UGGGGAAUUUUGGACAAUGGGCGAAAGCCUGAUCCAGCAAUGCCGCGUGUGUGAAGAAGGCCUUCGGGUUGUAAAGCACUUUUGUCCGGAAAGAAAUCCUUGGCUCUAAUACAGUCGGGGGAGUGACGGUACCGGAAGAAUAAGCACCGGCUAACUACGUGCCAGCAGCCGCGGUAAUACGUAGGGUGCAAGCGUUAAUCGGAAUUACUGGGCGUAAAGCGUGCGCAGGCGGUUUGCUAAGACCGAUGUGAAAUCCCCGGGCGUCAACCUGGGAACUGGCAUUGGUGACUGGCAGGCUAGAGUAUGGCAGAGGGGGGUGAGAAUUCCACGUGUAGCAGUGAAAUGCGUAGAGAUGUGGAGGAAUACCGAUGGCGAAGGCAGCCCCCU
rnacentral:rRNA from 1 species